rfam:Oryza glaberrima chromosome 2 Oglab02_0294_6, whole genome shotgun sequence.
AAAGAGUGCAUUUUUUUUAUUUUUAUAGAACAUUUGACUCUUCGUCUUAUUUAAUUUUUUUUAUGAUUAGUAUUAUUAUUAUUAUUAGAUGAUAAAACAUGAAUAUUAUUUUAUGUGUAACUAUUUUUUUAUUUGUUUCAUAAAUAUUUGAAAUAAGAUGGACAGGAAACGUUAGACAUAGAAAUCUAAAAAUGCGUUCUUU